rnacentral:rRNA from 1 species
UACGUAGGGAGCAAGCGUUGUCCGGAAUCAUUGGGCGUAAAGCGCGCGUAGGUGGCCUCAUAAGUCCGUUGUGAAAGUCAAAGGCUCAACCUUUGAAAGCCGAUGGAUACUGUGAGACUAGAGUACGGAAGAGGCGAGUGGAAUUCCUGGUGUAGCGGUGGAAUGCGCAGAUAUCAGGAGGAACACCAGUAGCGAAGGCAGCUCGCUGGGACGUUACUGACACUGAGGCGCGAAAGCGUGGGGAGCGAACAGG